rnacentral:lncRNA from 1 species
GUGGGAGACAUCUUUACUGUCAAGGGCAACAAAUCUGUCAGAAGUAACAAGUGUUCUCAUUUAUUAGUUCUGGAAUCAGCUAAAAACAGGGAUGAGAAACAAAAUAUGUUUAAGAUAAGAACAAUACAUUCACAGGAAGGGUUUAGAAAAGACAGAUGGAGAAUUAAUUGUAACAUGAACAAAGAAUACAGGCAAAAAAGAAAAAAAAAGUUUCCCCUUUCUUUGAAGAAACUAGUGUCUAUUUUGAAACAGCACCUUAAAGAGGCGCUCAGGGAAGCCAGACCUAGGGACCCUGGUUAAGGACACCACAGGCAUUUCAACUUUUAUUGACUUUUUUUUCUAAAGAAUUAAAACAUUUGGAUUUCACAAAAUCUAGCCACAGUUGUCGUUUUAUAAAAGCUGACGGGGGCUGAGCUACCUGGGAGAGCAGCCAGGACAUGAGUCUUGGCUGCCAACGUUUGCCCAUUUCACCCUUUUGAGCAGUUUCCUGAAUUGCUUUGGCUUUGCAAAUAUUUCACCAUAUUAUUAGCUACAGAGCUGGCCCAGAAAGGAAAUGGAGGCGAGAAAACAGAGCUAACAGAGCGAUAUGUCUUGUGGACAAACCCCUGAAAAGCAGGAGACGGCUCAGUGGGAGACGAUGCUACCAGCCUGGCAGUUCAGCAGUUACCUAAGGUGGGGGCUUGUUUCUUAUCCACGGAUGGGAACCAAACAUUGGUCUUCUGGAUUUUUUUUUUUUUUGAGAUCAAAUGCAGUAGUGCAUGUUCUUCCCUAACUACAGGAUGGACAGUGUAAGCAAGUCACCCUGACACUGUUAAUGAUUGCCUUAGUCACUGUUCUAUUGUGGUGAAGAGGUACCAUGACCAUAGCAACUUGUUUGAAAGAAAGCAUUUAAUUGGGGCUGGUUUACAGUUUCAGAGGUUUAGUCCAUUGCAUCAUGGUAGGGAGCAUGGUGGUGUGUAGGCAGACAUGGUUCUGGAGAAGUAGCUGAGAGUUCUACAUUUGAAUCUGC